rnacentral:rRNA from 1 species
AGUGAACGCUGGCGGUAGGCCUAACACAUGCAAGUCGAACGGCAGCACAGUAAGAGCUUGCUCUUACGGGUGGCGAGUGGCGGACGGGUGAGGAAUACAUCGGAAUCUACUUUUUCGUGGGGGAUAACGUAGGGAAACUUACGCUAAUACCGCAUACGACCUACGGGUGAAAGCAGGGGAUCUUCGGACCUUGCGCGAUUGAAUGAGCCGAUGUCGGAUUAGCUAGUUGGCGGGGUAACGGCCCACCAAGGCGACGAUCCGUAGCUGGUCUGAGAGGAGGAUCAGCCACACUGGAACUGAGACACGGUCCAGACUCCUACGGGAGGCAGCAGUGGGGAAUAUUGGACAAUGGGCGCAAGCCUGAUCCAGCCAUACCGCGUGGGUGAAGAAGGCCUUCGGGUUGUAAAGCCCUUUUGUUGGGAGAGAAAAGCAGCAGGUUAAUACCCCGCUGUUCUGACGGUACCCAAAGAAUAAGCACCGGCUAACUUCGUG